GCAGCAAGUGUUCAUUCAGGCUGCAGCAGCUGUACACCUGCGCUGCGAUGUUCUUUUGCUCAAAAUGAUGCGUGCAACAGUGCUACCAGUAGCUUUCAUCACACACCCGCACACGCACAAGGGAGCAUCACUUGUAGAAAAAGGGGAUGCAGGAGGAGGUGGCGAUGGUGGAGGAAUAUCAUCAUGGAGUGGGGGGAGAUUGUCACUCUUUAACCCGUGGGGUCCUCCACCACUCCUCCCUGCUCUCACAUUACACAUAGUCCAUACUCCAUAAUCGAUAGGAUAUAUCCCUCUCCCGUCUGUUCCAAAAUAGUUGACGUCUGAGUCAAACUUCUCUAACAAAAAAAUAUAUAAAAAAUAUUGGCAAUAUUUAUAUCUCCAAAUAAAUUUAUUGCAAAAAUAGAUUUAAUGUUAUAUCUAACAUGUACUAUAAAUAUUAAUAUUUUCUUUAUAUAUUUGAUAAAAUAUAUAAAUAAAUGACUCUUAAAAUCGAUAAGAGUCAACUAUUUUUAGACAGUGCCAAGUAGCCAUAGUCCACCACCACCCUACCCUCUCUGGCCCUCUCCUAUUCAUCAUUCACUUUUUUCCCUCUCCCCUUUUCUCCUCCAUAGCCUGCCCUGUCGCUUCACUUCUUUUUGUGGAGGCAUAGCAUCCUUUUCAGAACAGCUACGACUACGACACUGUUCUCAGAUCCCUUGUGCGUUCUUGCUCCAAACAUGCAUGUUGCUGCCACAGGAAUUCUACGGAUUCCCGAGAGCCCACCACCGGCUCGCUUUGGGGCGCCCUGAUGACAGAAUUGCAAAAGAAAGUAUUCUGAUCAUGGCCCAGUUGCAAACCUGCAAUCCUUAUUAAAUUGCAACGUCUGCAGUCGGACACCCUGCUAGUGAUUGGUUUCCAAACUGCUUGUCUGAUGUCAUGGCCCCUUUAUUCUUCUUUUGGUGGUUUAGCCCGUCAGCAAUGACUAGUUCUGAUUAACGCAUCUAAUUGGAUGAUCAAUAUUAAGAUUAGUUUGACCAUGUGCUGCUUAUGCCAACACGACUGAUUGUUGUAGAUAUUCUCUUCGCAAACCAUGUUGCUUCGAUAUAAAUUUCAGAACGGCUGCUUUCUGGCUGCAAGUCUGAAACUGCGGCAUAUGACCACAGUUUUGGAUCAGCCAUGACAGCACUUGAAGUAUAGAGUACUCCUUUAGGACCAAAGUAUCAAACAAUUUAUCUGACUUAUUUCCUCACUGUAUUUCUGGUUUAAUGUCUCUGUCUUCUUUACAUGUUUUUACAAUUCUCAGAGUAUAUGUCAUUAUGUCUAUUUCUUAUUCUUAUACUUUUCAACCCCUUUUUUUUCCAGAAAACAUGUGCCAUAUGCUUGACCACAAUGAAGCCUGGUCAGGGCCAUGCUCUCUUCACAGCAGAGUGCUCACACACUUUCCACUUCCAUUGUAUUUCGGCAAAUGUUAAGCACGGAAGCAGCAGCUGCCCAGUGUGUCGUAUCAAAUGGAAGGAGCUCCCAUUUCGAGGUCCCUUGCCUGCUGAAUUACCUCAAGGAAAUGCGAGGAUUAAUCCAGUUAAUGGGUACCAAAAUGGAGGCCAUAUGAACAUAUUGCGUCCACUUCCUCGUGCACGCUCUUCUGGCCGGCUUCAUCAUCUGGCCACGUUGCUGCCUGACACUGACCCUAGUACUUUCAACGAUGAUGAACCCUUGGACUUGUCGUCUGAAGAGGCUAAUGACAAUCAUCAGGGCUGUUUGAGAACAGUAGAGAUAAAAACAUAUCCAGAGUUCACUGAAGUACCUGAAAAUACAUCAGAAAGAAACUUCACUGUUCUGAUUCACCUUAAGGCACCGGUUGCUCAGCACCUGCAGCCAUCCAGCAAUCUCGGAGAUGGCAACGGGCUAAGUACAGCCCGUGCCCCUGUUGAUCUCAUCACAGUUCUUGAUGUCAGUGGAAGUAUGGCUGGUACCAAACUUGCAUUGUUGAAGAGGGCUAUGGGAUUUGUCAUUCAGAAUCUUGGAUCCUCUGACCGGCUUUCCGUCAUCGCCUUCUCAUCAUCCGCACGUAGGCUCUUCCCACUCCGUAGGAUGACUGAGUCUGGUCGGCAGCAGAGCUUGCUGGCUGUUAAUUCACUGACGUCAAAUGGAGGGACCAAUAUUGCAGAGGCCCUCAGGAAGGGCUCCAAGGUGAUCGAAGAGCGACAGGCCAAGAAUCCAGUCUGCAGCAUCAUCCUCUUGUCAGAUGGUCAAGAUACCUACACGGUCUCACCAACUGCUGGCGUACACAAAGGAGCACCAGAGUAUUGUGCGCUCUUGCCGUCCACUAACGGUAACCAGCAGGUACCUGUUCAUGUCUUUGGAUUCGGUGCUGACCAUGACUCCGUCUCGCUGCACUCCAUCUCACAAACUUCUGGUGGCACCUUCUCAUUCAUCGAGACAGAGGCCGCUAUCCAAGAUGCAUUUGCUCAGUGCAUUGGUGGACUUUUGAGUGUGGUUGCACAAGGUCUGCAUGUAAAGGUGGAGAGCCUCCACCCCGACGUGCACUUUGGCUCCAUCAGAUCAGGCAGCUAUUCUAGCAGGGUUUCAGAUGAUAAGAGGAAUGGGUCCAUAGAUGUUGGGGACCUGUAUGCUGAAGAAGAAAGGGAUUUUCUUGUGUCUGUAAACGUCCCACCAGGCUACGGGGAAACAGCACUCCUCAAGGUUGGCUGCGUCUACAAAGACCCACUGAUGAAGGAGACCGUGAAUAUGGCUGAUGUGCAAGUGAAGAUCUCCAGGCCAGCAUUCGUCUCGGUACAAAGCGUGUCGAUCGAGGUGGACCGCCAGAAGAACCGCCUCCAUGCAGCCGAGGUGAUGGCUGAAGCAAGGUUUUCUGCAGAGCGCGGUGACCUGACCACCGCUGUUUCUCUACUCGAGGACUGCCGGAGGAUGAUCAUGGGGUCGGCGUCAGGACAGUCUGGUGACCGUCUGUGCCAGGCACUGGAUGCCGAGCUGAAGGAGAUGCAGGAUCGGAUGGCCAACCGGCAGAGGUACGAGGCGUCCGGUCGAGCAUAUGUGCUCUCAGGCUUGAGCUCGCACUCAUGGCAGAGGGCAACCGCCCGCGGGGACUCGACGGACAGCGAGAGCCUGAUCCAAGCCUACCAGACUUCGUCCAUGGUGGACAUGCUGCUUCGCUCGCAGACAAUGAGCCGCUCAUCGACUCCUCGACCAACGCCACAGAUGAGGCACGCUAAGUCAUUCCCGGCACGCCCGCAGCCAAGGUAACUGCUAUUUGGUGUCACCAAGGAUUUGCCUGAAGCCUAAUUUGCUUGCCGAUGGGCGUAGUAGCGCCCUCUAAAUUCUUAGUUUUGUGGCGGGAGGACGGGACCAGGGUAUAGUUUGUGUGGGUACAAGGGGAUGUAAUGGUGUAAAUUUGAUCUGGGGUGGUGGAGGUAAAUGGUGAGAGGGGUAAGGUAUUUUAUAAUUGAGGGGGUCGGGGAUGGUAUACGUCCUGGGGAGAAUUGGGCAGGAGGGUGGUGAACUGGUAUACUCUAGUAUUGUACUAGCUCCUUCGUGUGGUGAUGUACAUAAGGGAAGGGUAUACAUUUGUGGACUCUUUGAGGAGGGAUGGAUACCUAAUCCUGAUCCCGAUCCUUGCAAUGUUUGUUUCCUCAGCCUGGAAAAGGACUAAGGUUUGUUGCCUCUUUCUGGAAAUGGAAUUGAUGAUGAUCCUGGGUAUUUUUUCCUUGUGCCUAGAAAAAAAUCUGGUUACUUGAUCAAUGAUCAUGUUGUGUUCCAGCUUGCAAGGAAAAAAUUGGAGGCGCUGCUAGAUGCUAUUACUGAUUGACGUUUUGGAAAUGCUUCGGUUACAAUGAGCACUGCUUACUUUUUUUGCUGUUGUUGAUCCUACCUCCGUCAAACAAAGAAACUUGGACGUUUCACGAUAGUUCUAACAAAAACUAUCCUAAAUCUAGCAAAAUUUUACAGAGAAAAAGGUAUGAGCAAGCCUCAUCGGAAAAUAAAAAACGGUCCCUAAACUUAACUCGGUUCAGCGAGAUCGAAGGACGUGAAAUAUGUAGAGAUACCGACCCCAUGCCGAGAAAUUGUAGGGAUCAUCUGACCUGAUUGUAAGAGGCGGGGUCGUCGUGAGGCGCAGUCGGUUUUCCUACAGCCUAUCCGGCCACCGGAACUGUCCAUUGGCGCCGGGGAUUCAAGCUGGCCGCGAGAAGGGGUAAUCCUGCGCUCGCCGCCAAUGCGCCGCCCCUGUCGGCAGCAAAUAAAACCCACGGCAGCGGCGCACUGCCGUGCCGAGUGCGGCGAGGGGGAGCCGGAACCGGACGGAGUCUAGCCGUCUAGCGGACCGAAUUUUUUUGUAUUAUGU
rnacentral:lncRNA from 1 species